GAUGAACGCUGGCUACAGGCUUAACACAUGCAAGUCGAGGGGAAACGCCGGGGAAGCUUGCUUCCCCGGGCGUCGACCGGCGCACGGGUGAGUAACGCGUAUCCAACCUGCCUCUGACUGAGGGAUAACCCGUCGAAAGUCGGCCUAAUACCUCAUGGCAUCGUCUGCGGGCAUCCAACGACGAUUAAAGAUUUCAUCGGUCAGGGAUGGGGAUGCGUCUGAUUAGCUAGUUGGCGGGGUAACGGCCCACCAAGGCGACGAUCAGUAGGGGUUCUGAGAGGAAGGUCCCCCACAUUGGAACUGAGACACGGUCCAAACUGCUACGGGCGGCAGCAGUGAGGAAUAUUGGUCAAUGGGCGAGAGCCUGAACCAGCCAAGUAGCGUGCAGGAUGACGGCCCUAUGGGUUGUAAACUGCUUUUAUGCGGGGAUAAAGUGAGGGACGUGUCCUUCAUUGCAGGUACCGCAUGAAUAAGGACCGGCUAAUUCCGUG
rnacentral:rRNA from 1 species